rfam:TPA: Bos taurus chromosome 3, whole genome shotgun sequence.
UCCCUGAUGGCUCAGACAGUAAAAGCGUCUGCCUGUAAUGCAGGAGACCUGGGUUGGAUCCCUGGGUCGGGAA